CAGCCCGUGAGGCUAAACUAACCCUGACACUAGGGGCCGCACUUGGCGAGGGACAACAAGGGGUGUUCCAGCAGGCUGUGGUGACCAGGAAGAGCUAUCACAGGAAGCCAUCUGUACAAAGCUAGCCUAUCAAAGUGCUGUUUGCAGUUGGGGGGUCUACAGGAAGUCAGCCAUACAGGAAGUCAAGUCAGACCAGCUGCAUUCUCAAACAUGUUUCUGUCCCUAACAGUUUUCUUCUUGACAUUGUCCAUAAAUGACACCAGGGAGGAAUGUCAUACCAAGGUGGCAUUAAUGACCUACCAGCUUCCUCGCUGCAGAACACCACCACCAUCUGAGCAGGAGAAAUUGUGAAAUAAACUCAAUCGGUGC